CUGGUUUAGAGAGAGUUCUGGUUUAGAGAGAGCUCUGGUUUAGAGAGAGCUCUGGUUUUGAGAGAGCUCUGGUUUAGAGAGAGCUCUGGUUUAGAGAGAGUUCUGGUUUAGAGAGAGCUCUGGUUUAGAGAGAGCUCUGGUUAAGAGAGAGCUCUGGUUUAGAGAGAGCUCUGGUUUAGAGAGCUCUGGUUAGGAGAGAGCUCUGGUUUAGAGAGAGCUCCGGUUAGGAGAGAGCGGUUAGGAGGUAGGACUGUUCCGUUAGGAGGUAGGACCGUUCCGUUAGGAGGGAGGACUGUUCCGUUAGGAGGGAGGAACGUUCUGUUAGGAGGUAGGACUGUACCGUUAGGAGGUAGGACCGUUCCGUUAGGAGGUAGGACUGUUCCGUUAGGAGUUAGGACCGUUCUGUUAGGAGGUAGGACACUUCCGUUAGGAGGUAGGACACUUCCGUUAGGAGGUAGGAUACAUCCGUUAGGAGGUAGGACUGUUCCGUUAGGAGGCAGGACACUUCGGUUAGGAGGUAGGACUGUUCCGUUAGGAGGUAGGACACUUCGGUUAGGAGGUAGGACUGUUCCGUUAGGAGGUAGGACACUUCGGUUAGAAGGUAGGACCGUUCCGUUAGGAGGUAGGACCGUUCCGUUAGGAGGUAGGACACUUCCGUUAGAAGGUAGGACACUUCCGUUAGAAGGUAGGACCGUUCUGUUAGGAGGUAGGACCGUUCCGUUAGGAGGUAGGACUGUUCCGUUAGGAGGUAGGACCGGUCCGUUAGGAGGUAGGACCGUUCUGUUAGGAGGUAGGACACUUCCGUUAGGAGUUAGGACCGUUCUGUUAGGAGGUAGGACUGUUCCGUUAGGAGGUAGGACUGUUCCGUUAGGAGGUAGGACCGGUCCGUUAGGAGGUAGGACCGGUCCGUUAGGAGGUAGGACCGUUCUGUUAGGAGGUAGGACACUUCCGUUAGGAGUUAGGACCGUUCUGUUAGGAGGUAGGACACUUCUGUUAGGAGGUAGGAUACA
ensembl:lncRNA